AUCAAAAAUUAAAUAUAUUAUUAUAUUUAGUAAUAUAUCUCAGUUUCAUAGUUUCAGUAACCAUUACAUAUCUUUCUAUUAGAAAAGAAGAUGUCUUGGAAAACUUAUUUCUACUAUGUUGGCUGUGUGAUAACAAUACUUAUUUUCUGGC